UGACUUGAGGGCAAAGACUGGG
rnacentral:miRNA from 1 species